rnacentral:rRNA from 1 species
AUGCGUCCUCAACAAGAUCUGCGCCCCCAACAUGAUGCGCGUCCUCAGCAAGAUCGACGUCAUCCAACUCCGGGAAGAAGGAAUGCCACCCCACUAGUGGGUGGUGCUGAGGUUUGCGUCACUUGCAAAGAUCCUGGGCAUGUCCCAAUGUGCUGUCCUAGAGCAGUUUGCGUUAGAUGUGGUUUAAAUGGACAUCUGGUUCCUAUUUGCAAUACUGUUCUUCCUUGGGAAUGUGUGGCUCAUAUGUGUGGGUUUCAAGCUAAGGGGAAGGGUUUCUUCUACAUACAUGACGCUAGUACACCCAAGCAAAAUACUGAUCGGAACAGAUAUAUUAUCAUCUCUGUGAUAGAAGGGCAAGCUAGUGGUAGGCAGUUGGAGGAAUUCUUUAAUGCUUACAUUAACAAAAAUUGGAAGUGUUCUGCUAGGUCGAUUGGGCCGAAUACUUUUGUGAUGAGAUUUCCUUCACCUAGAGAUGUUGACAAAGCUUGUUUCGCUGAGACUAUGAAUAUUAAGAGCUGUGGUGCUGUGGUGAGUCUCAAAAAUGGUCUGAAUCUGUGGGUGCCAAGGGUGUACUUAACAUUGCUUGGGUCAAUGUUAGCAACAUCCCUUUGGACAAAAGGUGUGAAAAAAAUAUUGCUUAUGUUGGAUCUUUGGUGGGUGUGA